GAUGAACGCUAGCGGCAGGCUUAACACAUGCAAGUCGAGGGGUAGAGGCCUUCGGGCCUUGAGACCGGCGCACGGGUGCGUAACGCGUAUGCAAUCUGCCUUCCACAGAGGGAUAGCCCAGAGAAAUUUGGAUUAAUACCUCAUAGCAUCAUGACCCGGCAUCGGGAUAUGAUUAAAGUCACAACGGUGGAAGAUGGGCAUGCGUCCCAUUAGCUAGUUGGUAAGGUAACGGCUUACCAAGGCUACGAUGGGUAGGGGUCCUGAGAGGGGAGUUCCCCCACCACAUCGGUACUGAGACACGGACCAGACUCCUACGGGAGGCAGCAGUGAGGAAUAUUGGUCAAUGGGCGCAAGCCUGAACCAGCCAUGCCGCGUGCAGGAUGACGGUCCUAUGGAUUGUAAAACUGCUUUUGUACGGGAAGAAACCCUCCUACGUGUAGGAGCUUGACGGUACCGUAAGAAUAAGGAUCGGCUAACUCCGUGCCAGCAGCCGCGGUAAUACGGAGGAUCCAAGCGUUAUCCGGAAUCAUUGGGUUUAAAGGGUCUGUAGGCGGUCUUGUAAGUCAGUGGUGAAAGCCCAUCGCUCAACGGUGGAACGGCCAUUGAUACUGCUGGACUUGAAUUAUUGGGAAGCAACUAGAAUAUGUAGUGUAGCGGUGAAA
rnacentral:rRNA from 1 species